rnacentral:misc_RNA from 1 species
CUUUCAUUUUGAAAAGAGAAACAUGAAGGUAAUCCUAAAUGUCCCUCUGGAUGUUUUGGCAGCUUAAGAAAACUGGAUUUGGAAUACCAAAACAGAGAAUUUGUAACCUUUUUGCUGCAAGAUGAUAUGCAUGGUACAAGUCCAACUAUACAUGUACAGUUUCUGGCAUAAAGCCAAAGUAUUGCAAGCUCAAACACUACUGUAAAAAAUCGAAGUGCAUGCUACUAACAUCACUAAACUCAAACUAUGCUACAGAAGACUUUGAAGCCGAUCUAAUAUACUUAACUCCGCAUUUGUUUUCUGUGACUAGCCUCUUCAGGGUUUCCCGCUUCUUCAUGUCUAAAAUCGUCAGGCAGAACCACACUGGACUCAGACCUGCAUUUAGCAUGUACUAUAGGACCUAACUGGGACCUAUCCAAGCCUGCUGUUGACCCAUCAGGUGCAUUCAGGUAGACAGCCCCUUUGUACAUCCAUUCCUCUGUUUCAUCACUAUAGAAAUCAUCAAAAGGCUCUCCGCAUAAUGCACAU